rnacentral:tRNA from 1 species
GCAUUCGUGGUUCAGUGGUAGAAUUCUUGCCUGCCAUGCAGGAGACCCGGAUUCGAUUCCCGGCCAAUGCA